UGCAGUCGAGCGGACACGAUCCUAGCUUGCUAGGAGGCGUCGAGCGGCGGACGGGUGAGUAAUGCAUAGGAAUCUGCCCGAUAGUGGGGGAUAACCUGAGGAAACUCAGGCUAAUACCGCAUACGUCCUACGGGAGAAAGCAGGGGCUCUUCGGACCUUGCGCUAUCGGAUGAGCUUAUGUCGGAUUAGCUGGUUGGUGAGGUAACGGCUCACCAAGGCGACGAUCCGUAGCUGGUCUGAGAGGAUGAUCAGCCACAUCGGGACUGAGACACGGCCCGAACUCCUACGGGAGGCAGCAGUGGGGAAUAUUGGACAAUGGGGGCAACCCUGAUCCAGCCAUGCCGCGUGUGUGAAGAAGGCCCUCGGGUUGUAAAGCACUUUCAGUGAGGAAGAGGGCUUGUCGGUUAAUACCCGGCAAGGGAGACAUCACUCACAGAAGAAGCACCGGCUAACUCCGUGCCAGCAGCCGCGGUAAUACGGAGGGUGCGAGCGUUAAUCGGAAUUACUGGGCGUAAAGCGUGCGUAGGCGGCUUGAUAAGCCGGUUGUGAAAGCCCCGGGCUCAACCUGGGAACGGCAUCCGGAACUGUCAGGCUAGAGUGCAGGAGAGGAAGGUAGAAUUCCCGGUGUAGCGGUGAAAUGCGUAGAGAUCGGGAGGAAUACCAGUGGCGAAGGCGGCCUUCUGGACUGACACUGACGCUGAGGUACGAAAGCGUGGGUAGCAAACAGGAUUAGAUACCCUGGUAGUCCACGCCGUAAACGAUGUCGACUAGCCGUUGGGGUCCUCGAGACCUUUGUGGCGCAGUUAACGCACUAAGUCGACCGCCUGGGGAGUACGGCCGCAAGGUUAAAACUCAAAUGAAUUGACGGGGGCCCGCACAAGCGGUGGAGCAUGUGGUUUAAUUCGAUGCAACGCGAGAUCUUACCUACUCUU
rnacentral:rRNA from 1 species